GACGAACGCUGGCGGCGUGCUUAACACAUGCAAGUCGAGCGGUAAGGCCCUUUCGGGGGUACACGAGCGGCGAACGGGUGAGUAACACGUGGGUGACCUGCCCUCAGCUCUGGGAUAAGCCUGGGAAACCGGGUCUAAUACUGGAUAUGACUCCAUGACGCAUGUUGUGGGGUGGAAAGCCUUGUGCGGCUGAGGAUGGGCCCGCGGCCUAUCAGCUUGUUGGUGGGGUGANGGCCUACCAAGGCGACGACGGGUAGCCGGCCUGAGAGGGCGACCGGCCACACUGGGACUGAGACACGGGCCCAGACUCCUACGGGAGGCAGCAGGUGGGGAAUCUUGCGCAAUGGGCGAGAGCCUGACGCAGCGACGCCGCGUGAGGGAUGAC
rnacentral:rRNA from 1 species